rnacentral:misc_RNA from 1 species
GUGAAUCAUCGAAUCUUUGAACGCACCUUGCGCUCCUUGGUAUUCCGAGGAGCAUGCCUGUUUGAGUGUCUUGAAGUCAUCAACCUCCCCGCGUUUUUCGUCGGGUCCCGGGUUGGACCUGGGGGUCUCUGCGGCCGCUCGGCCGCUCCCCUCAAAUGACUCGGUCGGGCCUGUGGGUCGGACUCGGUUCUGGGCGUUGUACCAUCCUCGCUCGCUUCCGAGAGGUUCCCCGCCUCCCCCUCGAGGGAGGGCCCCUCCAAGACCGUCCGUGGGGCGACGGUCACCUUUUUCGAAAUCUGACCUCAAAUCAGGUAGGACUACCCGCUGAACUUAAGCAUAUCAAUAAGCGGAGGA